rnacentral:tRNA from 2 species
GCGGGUGUAGCUCAGGGGUAGAGCACAACCUUGCCAAGGUUGGGGUCGAGGGUUCGAAUCCUUCGCCCGCUCCA